rnacentral:rRNA from 1 species
GAUGAACGCUAGCGAUAGGCUUAACACAUGCCAGUCGAGGGGCAGCACAAGGUAGCUUGCUAUCUGGGUGGCGACCGGCGCACGGGUGCGUAACGCGUAUGCAACUUGCCCUAUACAGGAGGAUAACCCGUCGAAAGACGGACUAAUACUGCGUAUGCUCACAACUUGGCAUCAAGUGGUGAGGAAAGAAAUUCGGUAUAGGAUAGGCAUGCGUCCCAUUAGCUUGUUGGUGAGGUAACGGCUCACCAAGGCAACGAUGGGUAGGGGAACUGAGAGGUUUAUCCCCCACACUGGUACUGAGACACGGACCAGACUCCUACGGGAGGCAGCAGUGAGGAAUAUUGGUCAAUGGGCGCGAGCCUGAACCAGCCAAGUCGCGUGAAGGAUGACUGUCUUAUGGAUUGUAAACUUCUUUUAGACGGGAAUAACAAGAGUCACGUGUGACUCCCUGCAUGUACCGUAUGAAUAAGCAUCGGCUAACUCCGUG